rnacentral:rRNA from 1 species
UGGGGAAUAUUGGACAAUGGGCGCAAGCCUGAUCCAGCCAUGCCGCGUGAGUGAUGAAGGCCUUAGGGUUGUAAAGCUCUUUUAGCAGGGAAGAUAAUGACGGUACCUGCAGAAAAAGCCCCGGCUAACUUCGUGCCAGCAGCCGCGGUAAUACGAAGGGGGCUAGCGUUGCUCGGAAUUACUGGGCGUAAAGCGCACGUAGGCGGACUCUUAAGUCGGUGGUGAAAUCCUGGAGCUCAACUCCAGAACUGCCUUCGAUACUGGGAGUCUUGAGUUCGGGGGAGGUGAGUGGAACUGCGAGUGUAGAGGUGAAAUUCGUAGAUAUUCGCAAGAACACCAGUGGCAAAGGCGGCUCACUGGCCCGAUACUGACGCUGAGGUGCGAAAGCGUGGGGAGCAAGCAGG